rnacentral:rRNA from 1 species
UACGUAGGUGGCAAGCGUUGUCCGGAUUUAUUGGGCGUAAAGCGCGCGCAGGCGGUCCUUUAAGUCUGAUGUGGAAUCUUGCGGCUCAACCGCAAGCGGUCAUUGGAAACUGGGGGACUUGAGUACAGAAGAGGAAAGCGGAAUUCCACGUGUAGCGGUGAAAUGCGUAGAGAUGUGGAGGAACACCAGUGGCGAAGGCGGCUUUCUGGUCUGUAACUGACGCUGAGGCGCGAAAGCGUGGGGAGCAAACAGG